CAAGGCUGAUAAAAAGUUAUGUACGCAUAAAUCAUGUUUUUAUUUUGAAAACAUAGCCGUUCUUUGACGUUGGCUGAGUUCACCCUCACAUGGUGGUUUGGCGUGAAGUGAACUCUAAAGUGUUAACCUUAGAAGUUAUCCAUCCGCACCUCUCAUACUGAGGUAUGAAUAUAAUAGGGUUACCGUGCCCCCUCUAAUAGGCUAGUCCACGGAACCCGUCCACUGCAGCGAUUAAUCAAUAACCCACAAAUACAAUAAAAUUU
rnacentral:lncRNA from 1 species